AAUAGGGUCCCCCUUUGCUUGUUGUUUAGUCGUUAAGUUGUGUCCUACUCUUCGUGACCCCAUGGACCAGAGCACGCCAGGCCCUCCUGUCUUCCACUGCCUCCUGGAGUUGGGUUAAAUUCAUGUUGGUCGCUUCGAUGACCCUGUCCAACCAUCUCGUCCUCUGUCGUCCCCUUCUCCUCUUGCCUUCACUCUUUCCCAACAUCAGGGCCUUUUCCAGGAAGUCCUCUCUUCUCAUGAGAUGGCCAAAGUACUGGAGAGCAAAAUGAGCCCACUCGGGAAAGAAAUUUCCCCACCCAUAAGAGCCACUCAAAGUGCCCCAGAUCAUCUGGGUAUUUGGGUGUGCUAUGUGUUCCUCCAUGGGUGGUCUCCAGGCUGAACUCCCUGAAGUAAAUAAAAAUGUUAUUUUACAUGCAGUAGAAAUUCCUGCACGUUGGAUGAUAUUUUUCUAAUUCUGCAGUUGGCAUAGUACCCAGUUCUGAGUUUUGUAUGUGGCAAGGUAUUUAGUAUUGUUAAGUUUUGGAAAAACUUCUGUAUAUCUCCUACUUUCUUGGAAUACCAUUUUCUCACACUUAAGGGUGUUUAGUAUUGUUAGGUUUUGGAAAAAAUUAUGUACUGUAUUCAGUAAAAAUAUUUGUUCUCACUGAGGAUAUCUCAUAUUCUCUUAGAAUACCAUUUUUUUACACUUUCAUGAAGGGGAACUGUUUCUUUUAUGGCAACAAGUGUCUUUCACUGGGAUGUGAAGCAUUUUUAUCUUGCAUUUCUUGAGGUCAUGAUCUGAUUGUGAGAGAAUCUUAUGCGAAUGGCUUCCCACCCCUUAGUCUGUCCCGCAGGGUCUGUGAAGAUGCCAACAACAAGUAUUCCUUCGUCUCUUCCUGAUGAUGCAGCGGAACCAGAUCAGGGUCCAGUGACCUUUGAGGAGGUGGCCGUGUCCUUCACCCAGGAGGAGUGGGCGCUGCUGGAUCCCGACCAGAAGGCCCUCCACCAGGAAGUCAUGGAGGAGAACUGGCAGAUGAUGUACUCCCUCGGUAAGGUCCCCUCUUUCUCCCGCUGAUGCUAAUCUCUCUUCACCAAGGUAAUAAGGAGACUAACAAUAACAAUAGUUCUCUUGCAUCCAAAAUUCAAAUUCAUGCUAGCCACAACCUGGCACAUAAUGCAAAAUAUCUCCCCACUUUUCACAAAACAUCAAAGAAGGAAUUAUUAACCACCCAAAUAAAAUAAAAAAUCCCUUGGGAGAUCA
rnacentral:lncRNA from 1 species